GAUGAACGCUAGCGGCAGGCUUAAUACAUGCAAGUCGAGGGGCAGCACAGGUAGCAAUACUGGGUGGCGACCGGCAAACGGGUGCGGAACACGUACACAACUUACCUUCUGGUGGGGGAUAGCCUUUGGAAACGGAGAUUAAUACCCCAUAUUAUAUAUGAGCUGCAUGGUUUGUAUAUUAAAGAUUUAUUGCCGGAAGAUGGGUGUGCGUAUGAUUAGGUAGUUGGCGGGGUAACGGCCCACCAAGCCGACGAUCAUUAACUGGUGUGAGAGCACGACCAGUCACACGGGCACUGAGACACGGGCCCGACUCCUACGGGAGGCAGCAGUAAGGAAUAUUGGUCAAUGGACGGAAGUCUGAACCAGCCAUGCCGCGUGGAGGAUGAAGGUCCUCUGGAUUGUAAACUUCUUUUAUAGGGGGCGAAAAAAGGGAAUUCUUUCUCGUCUGACGGUACCCUAUGAAUAAGCACCGGCUAACUCCGUGCCAGCAGCCGCGGUAACAC
rnacentral:rRNA from 1 species